GAUGAACGCUGGCGGCGUGCCUAAUACAUGCAAGUCGAGCGAACAGACGAGGAGCUUGCUCCUCUGACGUUAGCGGCGGACGGGUGAGUGACACGUGGAUAACCUACCUAUAAGACUGGGAUAACUUCGGGAAACCGGAGCUAAUACCGGAUAAUAUAUUGAACCGCAUGGUUCAAUAGUGAAAGACGGUUUUGCUGUCACUUAUAGAUGGAUCCGCGCCGCAUUAGCUAGUUGGUAAGGUAACGGCUUACCAAGGCAACGAUGCGUAGCCGACCUGAGAGGGUGAUCGGCCACACUGGAACUGAGACACGGUCCAGACUCCUACGGGAGGCAGCAGUAGGGAAUCUUCCGCAAUGGGCGAAAGCCUGACGGGGCAACGCCGCGUGAGUGAUGAAGGUCUUCGGAUCGUAAAACUCUGUUAUUAGGGAAGAACAAAUGUGUAAGUAACUAUGCACGUCUUGACGGUACCUAAUCAGAAAGCCACGGCUAACUACGUG
rnacentral:rRNA from 1 species